rnacentral:tRNA from 1 species
GACUCAUGGCUUAACGGUAGAGCAUCGGAUCGGUAUUUCAAAGGUUUAGGGUUCAAUUCCCAAAAGAGUCA